GCAAGUCGAGCGCGAAAUCCCUUCGGGGUGAGUAGAGCGGCGGACGGGUGAGUAACGCGUAGGAAUCUACCCAGUGGUUGGGGACAACCUGGGGAAACCCAGGCUAAUAGCGCAUACGCCCUACGGGGGAAAGAGGGUGCUCUCUUCGGAGACCUCGCGCCAUUGGAUGAGCCUGCGUCGGAUUAGCUAGUUGGUGGGGUAAAGGCCUACCAAGGCGACGAUCCGUAGCUGGUCUGAGAGGACGAUC
rnacentral:rRNA from 1 species